rnacentral:snRNA from 1 species
AGAGAAUUGCUUGAACCCUGGAGAUGGAGGUUGCAGUGAGCCGAGAUUGUGCCAUUGCAUUCCAGCCUAGGUGACAGAG